CACAAGCGGUGGAUGAUGUGGAUUAAUUCGAUGCAACGCGAAAAACCUUACCUACCCUUGACAUGUCAGGAAGUCUGCUGAGAGGUGGAUGUGCCCGAAAGGGAACCUGAACACAGGUGCUGCAUGGCUGUCGUCAGCUCGUGUCGUGAGAUGUUGGGUUAAGUCCCGCAACGAGCGCAACCCUUGUCAUUAAUUGCCAUCAUUCAGUUGGGCACUUUAAUGAGACUGCCGGUGACAAACCGGAGGAAGGUGGGGAUGACGUCAAGUCCUCAUGGCCCUUAUGGGUAGGGCUUCACACGUCAUACAAUGGUCGGUACAGAGGGUUGCCAACCCGCGAGGGGGAGCCAAUCCCACAAAGCCGAUCGUAGUCCGGAUCGCAGUCUGCAACUCGACUGCGUGAAGUCGGAAUCGCUAGUAAUCGUGGAUCAGCAUGUCACGGUGAAUACGUUCCCGGGUCUUGUACACACC
rnacentral:rRNA from 1 species